CCAGCGGUCCGGCCGGGAACUCAAAGGAGACUGCCAGUGAUAAACUGGAGGAAGGUGGGGAUGACGUCAAGUCAUCAUGGCCCUUACGACCAGGGCUACACACGUGCUACAAUGGCGCAUACAAAGAGAAGCGACCUCGCGAGAGCAAGCGGACCUCAUAAAGUGCGUCGUAGUCCGGAUUGGAGUCUGCAACUCGACUCCAUGAAGUCGGAAUCGCUAGUAAUCGUGGAUCAGAAUGCCACGGUGAAUACGUUCCCGGGCAUUGUACACACCGCCCGUCACACCAUGGGAGUGGGUUGCAAAAGAAGUAGGUAG
rnacentral:rRNA from 1 species